UACUGAUAUACUGUAUCAACUGUUCUCUUCUCUCUCUGCCUCCUCUACAUCACAGACCAACAACACAGACAGUGUCCGUAGUCACCUCGUCACCGAGCUUCAGGAACUUCAGAUCCAUUUCUCUGGACCUCUUCCUGGGUUGACCAGGACUUUAAAAACACAGAACCUUUCUGAUCACAUCAGAUCACAGUGUGAUUUAAAGUCAGCUUCUUCAUCACUCUGAAGAGGAGAUCUCAACACUUCAGGAGGACCAGGAGGACCAGGAGACCAGGAGAAGACGAUGGGGGGUUCAGGGUCAACACCCAUCUCUGCUCAAAUUUCUGAAUCAAUAAACACACUUAAAAAACAUUCAGCUUCAUUCAUCAAAGAGUUUCACAGCAGUAAAGACAGGAUGAGAAAGAUCGCAGGAGAGUUAAGGGAGAUCACUGAUGAAGACAGAAAGAUUAAUAGAAUAGAUGAAGAAGAAGAGCAGAAAAAGGGGAGAGAGUUCAUGACGAUCAUUGAACCGCUGAAGAAGGACCUGGAAGAAAUCAGGAGGACGUGUGAGAUGUUGAAGAACAGAUCAGCUGAAGGUCAGGCUAGAAUCACUCUGAGAGACAGGGAGGGCUUUGGGAUGAGUCUGACACAAGCUGCCAUAGAUAGAAGAGAAAUCAUCAUUCUGCCUCUUCUGUGUAGCAGGGUGGUGGAUGACUGUGAAAAGAUGAAGAAAGAACUCAAAGACUUAAAAAAGAAAAAGAAAAGAAAAAAGAAAAGAUAGAAGCUGCAGUGUGGAGAAAAGGUCUUAUUUGUUCAUAAUGUCUCACUAAAUCUGCAGUUUGAGACACAGAACUUAAAAUUUGGGACACAAAUAUUCCUCUGUGUGUGUGUGUGUGUGUGUGUGUGUCUGUG